GAAAUGCGAUAAGUAGUGUGAAUUACAGAAUUCAGUGAAUCAUCGAAUCUUUGAACGCACAUUGCGCCCUUUGGUAUUCCAAAGGGCAUGCCUGUUCGAGCGUCAUUUGUACCCUCAAGCUUUGCUUGGUGUUGGGCGUCUUGUCUCUAGCUUUGCUGGAGACUCGCCUUAAAGUAAUUGGCAGCCGGCCUACUGGUUUCGGAGCGCAGCACAAGUCGCACUCUCUAUCAGCAAAGGUCUAGCAUCCAUUAAGCCUUUUUUCAACUUUUGACCUCGGAUCAGGUAGGGAUACCCGCUGAACUUAAGC
rnacentral:misc_RNA from 1 species